rnacentral:misc_RNA from 1 species
AAUAAAAUAAAAAUAAACUAUUAAAAAUUUAAGAUAGUAAUAUAUCAAUACUUAAAUAGUCUUUUGACGUCUCAAAACUAAAGUCAAGCAAUAAUAAAAUAACUACGCUUCAGUCUUCAUCAAGAGUAGCUUCAUAAUCUUUCUAGUCUUCUUCUGCACCUGCCCUCUUGAUACUUAUCUUUAAAAUCAAAUAAUCAACAUCUUCCUUAUCUUCCUCAUCUCUAAAAACUAAAGGAGUAUUAGUUCUCGAGUUAGUGCAUGAUACUUUUUCUUUUUCGAUUGGCAUAGAUCUUGAAAUAGG